CCAUGCCCCUUCAACCCCCAUGACCACUUCAGGUCACCAAUCUGGAGCAGGCUAUGGAUGCUCAUCAUUGGGGCCUGCUUUUCAGCAUCCUGAAAACUUCUACAGAUUAAUACUGCAGCAUCUGAGGGAGUUGGCCGAAGAAUUGAGGGAUGUGAAACAGCAGGUUUCAUUAAACACAGCCAUAUUGCAGAGCCUGACAGCUGGAACCAACGUGGACAUGUCCUUUCCACCAGACGUCAUCCUUCCUCUGGAGGAUAGAAGCAUGCUGGAGGACAUUGAGAGAGGGCUUGGACAAAAUCUGGAAUUAAUGGAUAAAUCUGUUUUAUUUUAGAUACCCUUAUACCUAAUGCAGUGUGUAAAAUCUGCACAUCCCUCACUUUGAAGAGGCCCUUUGAAGACAUGAUGGGGAGACUGGCAAUAGCUUUAUCAUCAGCUUAUUAAUCAUAAAA